AAUUUUGCUCAAUGGGCGCAAGCCUGAAGCAGCGACGCCGCGUGAAUGAUGAAGUCUUUCGGGAUGUAAAGUUCUGUCGAUGGGGACAAUAAUGAUGGUACCCAUAGAGGAAGCACCGGCAAACUAUGUGCCAGCAGCCGCGGUAAUACAUAGGGUGCAAGCGUUAUCCGGAUUUACUGGGCGUAAAGCGUAUGUAGGUGGUGUUCUAAGUCAAACUUUAAAUACUGAGGCUUAACUUCGGUUCGGGUUUGAUACUGGAAUGCUAGAGUUUGGGAGAGGAAAGCGGAACUAACAGUGUAGCGGUGAAAUGCGUAGAUAUUGUUAGGAACACCCGUGGCGAAGGCGGCUUUCUGGACCAAUACUGACACUGAGAUACGAAAGCGUGGGGAGCAA
rnacentral:rRNA from 1 species